CUCAUUACUGCCUUGCAGUUUGAUCUCAGACUGCUGUGCUAGCAAUCAGCGAGACUCCCUGGGCGUAGGACCCUCCGAGCCAGGUGUGGGAAAUAAUCUCCUGGUGCACCGUUUCCUAAGCCCGUCGGAAAAGCGCAGUAUUUGGGUGGGAGUGGCCCGAUUUUCCAGGUGCCCUCCUUUCCUUGACCAGGAAAGGGAACUCCCUGACCCCUUACGCUUCCCAAGUGAGGCAAUGCCUCGCCCUGCUUCGGCUGGCGCACGGUGCCCUGCACCCACUGUCUGGCACUCCCUAGUGAGAUGAACCCGGUACCUCAGAUGGAAAUGCAGAAAUCACCCAUCUUCUGCGUGGCUCAUGCUGGGAGCUGUAGACCAGAGCUGUUCCUAUUCAGCCAUCUUGGCUCCCGGAUCCAGUUUAACUUUUGCAGAGAGACAAGAUCUCUCUCCAUUGCCAACACUGGUCUCAAACUCCUGGCCUCAAGCAAUCAUCCAACCUCAGCCUUCUGAGUACCGGGAUUACAAGUGCGAGCCACUGUGCCCAGCUCCUGUUUCUACUUUCUUAAGAUUCCUCUUAGGACUCUAGAUGCACGGAGAGUGGCCAGAUUAAUACAGACUGGCAAAAGAAGAACUUGGCAAAGUGAUUUGAUCACACACUUCUCACCCUCACAUCUCCUGACAGUUCCCCUAAUCCCUGCCCCACUUCCCCGCCAUGGGCUUCCAUCAGGAAACUCCUUGAUAUCAUCUUCGUUACAGGAAUGCAGAUGUGAUUCCUAUGGAUGAGGGUAACCUAGAGGCUAGAAGAACAAUAGGACAGAAGAAGCCUGGGUCCCUGAACAACCUUGUGGAGCAUAGACACCUACGUGGCCUGGACUGCCAGCUCACAAUGGGCCUCUCUGUGAGAGAAGGAAACUUCCCUCUUGUUUAAGCAACUGUGCUUUUGAGAAUCUCUUGGUCUAUACCCUAAUGAAUAAGGCCAUCAUAAAUGGAUAUCAAAGUAAGGAAAUUUGUGUAAAUGAUUUAAUAAAACAUUACCUCAGGUAUGAAAUAAUUCUACCUUGUGCCUUGACAACAUCAGGUAUUAUUCAUGCCCUUUUCUCUCCCUGUAAUGUCUCUUAUCCACGGGUAGAAAUUAUAUUUUCCAUCUAAGGUUUGCUCAAAUAUUAUCUACUUAAGUAGCUCUUACCAAUUUUGCCUCUCCUCCUGAGCUGACCCUAUGCCUUCUAUGCUGUUCCAGGUAAUAUUAAUCUCUUCCUUUGUACUUCUUUCACAGAACAUACUUUUUUGUCUAACAUAAUAACUAUAGGCAUAAGUGUAUAGAUUCCACUAGGGGCUUCAGAACAGAAACUAUCAUCUUAUUAAUUUUUUUCUCCCUGAUAUCUAGGGAAAUAUGUUAUAUAUAAUAGGCCCUUAGUAAUCCCAUAAAUGUUUGUGAGAUAUUCACUGACUAUAAGCCAUACUCUGUAUUUAUUUAGCUAAAACAGACGUCUUUCAUAUUUAGUUAGCAGAAAAUGCUCACAUUUACUCCUUUCCUGUUUACCAAAUGAAAGGGUAAUUGUUUUUUCACAGAUUGCACUAGAAAAGUGUCUUCUCUCUCUUUUUCAAAUAGAUUGUCUUUAAAACAUAUGACAGGAAAAGUGACUAUUGUUAGGAUAAGAUAAUUACGAUUGUAACAGCUAGUUUAAAAGAAGUGUCAGUUGCUCCUGUUUUAUUUUUCACAGGAUAGAGCUGCGGCCUGUCUCAGUAUGAUGUUUUCAGGAUCUGGUAUAUAUUUUUAUUUUCCUACAUGAAUCUUUCAUCCUUUUACUGACAUUUAUUCAUUUUAUCUAAUUAUCCUAAAAGGAAAGCUCUGGCCAGGCAAAUUGGUUGUUGUCUGCCUCUGAAGAGACAUUCAUAUCGCGUCGCUUAGCUUUCAAGUUUUGUGAUCAGGAACCCUCAGGCCCAUUUUUAAGGAGGUUUCAGGCUAGCUGAGCUUCACUGUCUCCCAAAAUGUACAAAAUGAGAUUACAUGAGGGACAAGAUCAAUUUACUGGAAGGUACUUAAGCAGUAAAUCUGGAGCUUUUUGUCCAGUCACUAUUGCUUUCAAGCUUUGUAGCAGAAAAUUAAGCCACAAGAGCUUUGACAAAUUAGAUAUUACUACCUCUAAUUGUGUAUGUUUAAGCUUAUCACACUGAAUUGCAGCAUUGUAACUGACUAUUAUGCCAACAAGGCCUUCGUUUAAUCAGCGCAGUGCCAUUUAAUCGCAAUUAAUCACUCAACUAAAAUGUCAUAUUAAGGUCACAGAAACUUGAAGGGCUAAAAGAAAAGAGAACAUUAAAGUCAGCUGAUGGAGGAAAAGAGCAUGGUGUGCCAAGGGAAGUUCUGAGCACUCUUUUUCAUUAGAAGCUGGUAGAACAUUUAAUGAGAAUUCAGUCUUAACUUUCAGCUGAGAUCAGAACAACGUGCC
rnacentral:lncRNA from 1 species